GACGAACGCCGGCGGCGUGCCUAAUACAUGCAAGUAGAACGCUGAAGAGAGGAGCUUGCUCUUCUUGGAUGAGUUGCGAACGGGUGAGUAACGCGUAGGUAACCUGCCUGGUAGCGGGGGAUAACUAUUGGAAACGAUAGCUAAUACCGCAUGAAAUUGCUUAUCGCAUGAUAAUUAAUUGAAAGAUGCAAUUGCAUCACUACCAGAUGGACCUGCGUUGUAUUAGCUAGUUGGUGAGGUAACGGCUCACCAAGGCGACGUUACAUAGCCGACCUGAGAGGGUGAUCGGCCACACUGGGACUGAGACACGGCCCAGACUCCUACGGGAGGCAGCAGUAGGGAAUCUUCGGCAAUGGGGGGAACCCUGACCGAGCAACGCCGCGUGAGUGAAGAAGGUUUUCGGAUCGUAAAGCUCUGUUGUAAGAGAAGAAACGGGUGUGAGAGUGGAAAGUUCAAC
rnacentral:rRNA from 1 species